UCUCAGCUGUGAGAGAUGAUGGGGUGCUAGCAUCUCCUGGUAGUUCUCAUGGAUCAGGCAUCUUCUGGUAGUUCUACGGAUCAGAGGCAAUGAUGUGUAUGGGGAAUCUAUAAGACUUAGGGAUAAUCUAACAUUUUCAGCAACGGACAGGUGUCUCCAGCCAGCCAUGAAACAGUCCUGCUCUGGUCCCUCCGUCAGUGUGGCUGCAGGAGCGAGGACAAGGCUGGUCCUUUCCCUGGACAUGGAUGCUCUAUUGCAGGUGAGCAAGGAGAUGACGUGUUUGGACAGGCGGUUCCUGACCAUGGGGAGUGAACUCUUGCAGCAGAUGCUGCGCAGCCCGGGUGAACACCUCCAGCUGCACGCUCCGGAGUUUCUGCACCACUCAGAGCUGUUUCAGGUCUGCAGGGGACUUUGACACAGGAAUCUAUAUUAUUUGGGGGAAAAAAAAAAAAAAAGGAAGCAACAUCACAAAAAGAACCCUGGAAUAGGAAGAGAUGGUGGAAAGCACCUGCAGGGUCAGGAGCAGUGUCGACUGAGGGGGUUGAUUGAUCUCCAAAUCAUGGGGAUGAAGAGUAGAAAAUUAAAGUGGAUGUAGAGCUGGUCCCACUAGCUCCCAUGCCGGAUGCUCCUCUUCCUCAGCUGGACUUGUCACUCCAGCCCCAAGGUGUCUGUCAGCCCAUCACAGGCAGAGUCAAGGACACAACCCUACUGCCUGCGAUGGAGUCUUCUUUCUGGAGGAGAGACGCCAGUAUCUGCUGCUGGUGGCAUUUGAUCCUCUGAGUCUUGAUUAGCAAACCGUCUGGCAGCUGGCAGCUCCCCAGAAAGGUCAGCUUUCCAGGGCAGGAUUCUUCUUCUGCACCCAAGAGCACCCAGCUACCCCCAAACCCUACCCAAAGGGCAACAUGAGCACCCAUCCUCUUUCAUCAGGAACAAGCGAUGGUGGCAGGGAGGUCCUGGUGAGGAGCCGUCACAUUUAGACUCUACCGCUCUGCUGUGAAAGCGUCUGGUUCCUCUGACCUUCAGAUCUGCUGGACCCAUCUCCAGUCCCCGUCGGUCAUGGGGCGCACAGCUGGGACUGGGCUGGGUGCCCUCAGAGCUGGGGGCUUACCAGGCCCCUUUUAUAAAAGCUCUUACAAUUUGAACUCGCCUUCUCAAAUUGCCCUCGUGGUCUUGGUUAGUGCAGGUUAUCUGAAUGACUGUCCAGAGCAGGGAAUAGUGUUGAAUUUAUUUUUUGGUGACUGUUUUCUGAUUUAAUGGAAGUUGUUGGUUUUAUACUUGUUUUCACCAGUCUGACUGUAUUUUCCUAUAUAUCAAAAGCAAGCAGAGUUGUGGAUAGACCUUUUUUAUGUAUCAUAUAAAUCUAUGUAAGUGAAUAAAUAAAUAAGCAGUGCCACAAUGGAGUAAGAGUGAAGGAUUGCAUUGAUGCUAUUAGGAGUAGAAAUAUUUUGGAAGUAUCACUAUCAAAUCAUCUGUGAAAAUGCCAUAUAGGCACAUGCAUACACAUAACCCACAGAAAGAUUUUUUUCCUUCAGAUAAAUGUCAAAAAUGCAGACGUCCGUUUUCAUUUAAGUACCUGACAUAUUCUUCAAAUCCACAAUGCACUUGGCAGAUACCAAGGCAUCUUCCAUUAAUCCUUAAAAGAUUUAAAUAUCAUUUUAUUUAUAUUUAGCAUUCUGAAAGCACAAAAGAGAAUAAUAAGAGUUUUCAAUGUCUAGAUCUUAUAGGCUUCUUCCUAGAAAAGACUGCUACAA